AGGAAACACUGGCACUUGUCUUCUCUUUGUCAAAGUAACAGAUGCUGAAGCACCUAUUCUGUACUGCCCAAAUAUAUCUUCUACCACGGAUGGGGGACGCAAUUCAUCAUCUACUGUUCUGCUGAAUUCAACUGCAACUAAUGAUAAGGAUUUUCAUCUCGAUGUGAAUUGCUCCCAUUCAUCCCAAGAUACAUACCCGAUAGGGGACACCACUGUGAACUGCUCAUCUACAGAUGAUGCAGGAAACACUGGCACUUGUCUUCUCGUUGUCACAGUAACAGAUGCUGAAGCACCUAUUCUGUACUGCCCAAAUAUAUCUUCUACCACGGAUGAGGGACGCAAUUCAUCAUCUACUGUUCUGCUGAAUUCAACUGCAACUAAUGAUAAGGAUUUUCAUCUCGAUGUGAAUUGCUCCCAU
rnacentral:lncRNA from 1 species